rnacentral:rRNA from 1 species
UUAAGCGACUAAGCGUACACGGUGGAUGCCCUGGCAGUCAGAGGCGAUGAAGGACGUGCUAAUCUGCGAUAAGCGUCGGUAAGGUGAUAUGAACCGUUAUAACCGGCGAUUUCCGAAUGGGGAAACCCAGUGUGAUUCGUCACACUAUCAUUAACUGAAUCCAUAGGUUAAUGAGGCGAACCGGGGGAACUGAAACAUCUAAGUACCCCGAGGAAAAGAAAUCAACCGAGAUUCCCCCAGUAGCGGCGAGCGAACGGGGAGCAGCCCAGAGCCUGAAUCAGUAUGUGUGUUAGUGGAAGCGUCUGGAAAGGCGCGCGAUACAGGGUGACAGCCCCGUACACAAAAAUGCACAUGCUGUGAGCUCGAUGAGUAGGGCGGGACACGUGGUAUCCUGUCUGAAUAUGGGGGGACCAUCCUCCAAGGCUAAAUACUCCUGACUGACCGAUAGUGAACCAGUACCGUGAGGGAAAGGCGAAAAGAACCCCGGCGAGGGGAGUGAAAAAGAACCUGAAACCGUGUACGUACAAGCAGUGGGAGCACAGAGCAAUCUGUGUGACUGCGUACCUUUUGUAUAAUGGGUCAGCGACUUAUAUUCUGUAGCAAGGUUAACCGAAUAGGGGAGCCGAAGGGAAACCGAGUCUUAACUGGGCGUUAAGUUGCAGGGUAUAGACCCGAAACCCGGUGAUCUAGCCAUGGGCAGGUUGAAGGUUGGGUAACACUAACUGGAGGACCGAACCGACUAAUGUUGAAAAAUUAGCGGAUGACUUGUGGCUGGGGGUGAAAGGCCAAUCAAACCGGGAGAUAGCUGGUUCUCCCCGAAAGCUAUUUAGGUAGCGCCUCGUGAAUUCAUCUCCGGGGGUAGAGCACUGUUUCGGCAAGGGGGUCAUCCCGACUUACCAACCCGAUGCAAACUGCGAAUACCGGAGAAUGUUAUCACGGGAGACACACGGCGGGUGCUAACGUCCGUCGUGAAGAGGGAAACAACCCAGACCGCCAGCUAAGGUCCCAAAGUCAUGGUUAAGUGGGAAACGAUGUGGGAAGGCCCAGACAGCCAGGAUGUUGGCUUAGAAGCAGCCAUCAUUUAAAGAAAGCGUAAUAGCUCACUGGUCGAGUCGGCCUGCGCGGAAGAUGUAACGGGGCUAAACCAUGCACCGAAGCUGCGGCAGCGACGCUUAUGCGUUGUUGGGUAGGGGAGCGUUCUGUAAGCCUGCGAAGGUGUGCUGUGAGGCAUGCUGGAGGUAUCAGAAGUGCGAAUGCUGACAUAAGUAACGAUAAAGCGGGUGAAAAGCCCGCUCGCCGGAAGACCAAGGGUUCCUGUCCAACGUUAAUCGGGGCAGGGUGAGUCGACCCCUAAGGCGAGGCCGAAAGGCGUAGUCGAUGGGAAACAGGUUAAUAUUCCUGUACUUGGUGUUACUGCGAAGGGGGGACGGAGAAGGCUAUGUUGGCCGGGCGACGGUUGUCCCGGUUUAAGCGUGUAGGCUGGUUUUCCAGGCAAAUCCGGAAAAUCAAGGCUGAGGCGUGAUGACGAGGCACUACGGUGCUGAAGCAACAAAUGCCCUGCUUCCAGGAAAAGCCUCUAAGCAUCAGGUAACAUCAAAUCGUACCCCAAACCGACACAGGUGGUCAGGUAGAGAAUACCAAGGCGCUUGAGAGAACUCGGGUGAAGGAACUAGGCAAAAUGGUGCCGUAACUUCGGGAGAAGGCACGCUGAUAUGUAGGUGAAGUCCCUCGCGGAUGGAGCUGAAAUCAGUCGAAGAUACCAGCUGGCUGCAACUGUUUAUUAAAAACACAGCACUGUGCAAACACGAAAGUGGACGUAUACGGUGUGACGCCUGCCCGGUGCCGGAAGGUUAAUUGAUGGGGUCAGCGCAAGCGAAGCUCUUGAUCGAAGCCCCGGUAAACGGCGGCCGUAACUAUAACGGUCCUAAGGUAGCGAAAUUCCUUGUCGGGUAAGUUCCGACCUGCACGAAUGGCGUAAUGAUGGCCAGGCUGUCUCCACCCGAGACUCAGUGAAAUUGAACUCGCUGUGAAGAUGCAGUGUACCCGCGGCAAGACGGAAAGACCCCGUGAACCUUUACUAUAGCUUGACACUGAACAUUGAGCCUUGAUGUGUAGGAUAGGUGGGAGGCUUGGAAGUGUGGACGCCAGUCUGCAUGGAGCCGACCUUGAAAUACCACCCUUUAAUGUUUGAUGUUCUAACGUUGACCCGUAAUCCGGGUUGCGGACAGUGUCUGGUGGGUAGUUUGACUGGGGCGGUCUCCUCCUAAAGAGUAACGGAGGAGCACGAAGGUUGGCUAAUCCUGGUCGGACAUCAGGAGGUUAGUGCAAUGGCAUAAGCCAGCUUGACUGCGAGCGUGACGGCGCGAGCAGGUGCGAAAGCAGGUCAUAGUGAUCCGGUGGUUCUGAAUGGAAGGGCCAUCGCUCAACGGAUAAAAGGUACUCCGGGGAUAACAGGCUGAUACCGCCCAAGAGUUCAUAUCGACGGCGGUGUUUGGCACCUCGAUGUCGGCUCAUCACAUCCUGGGGCUGAAGUAGGUCCCAAGGGUAUGGCUGUUCGCCAUUUAAAGUGGUACGCGAGCUGGGUUUAGAACGUCGUGAGACAGUUCGGUCCCUAUCUGCCGUGGGCGCUGGAGAACUGAGGGGGGCUGCUCCUAGUACGAGAGGACCGGAGUGGACGCAUCACUGGUGUUCGGGUUGUCAUGCCAAUGGCACUGCCCGGUAGCUAAAUGCGGAAGAGAUAAGUGCUGAAAGCAUCUAAGCACGAAACUUGCCCCGAGAUGAGUUCUCCCUGACUCCUUGAGAGUCCUGAAGGAACGUUGAAGACGACGACGUUGAUAGGCCGG